rnacentral:rRNA from 1 species
GACGAACGCUGGCGGCGUGCUUAACACAUGCAAGUCGAACGGAAAGGCCCCUUUGGGGGUCCUCGAGUGGCGAACGGGUGAGUAACACGUGAGUAACCUGCCCUUGACUUCGGGAUAACUUCAGGAAACUGGGGCUAAUACCGGAUAGGAAUCCUUGCUGCAUGGUGGGGGUUGGAAAGCUUCGGCGGUUUUGGAUGGACUCGCGGCUUAUCAGCUUGUUGGUGGGGGAGUGGCUUACCAAGGCUUUGACGGGUAGCCGGCCUGAGAGGGCGACCGGCCACAUUGGGACUGAGAUACGGCCCAGACUCCUACGGGAGGCAGCAGUGGGGAAUAUUGCACAAUGGGCGGAAGCCUGAUGCAGCAACGCCGCGUGCGGGAUGACGGCCUUCGGGUUGUAAACCGCUUUCAGCAGGGGCGAAGCUUGUGGUGACGGUACCUGCAGAAGAAGCACCGGCUAACUACGUG